AUUGAACGCUGGCGGAAUGCUUUACACAUGCAAGUCGAGCGGCAGCACGGGGGCAACCCUGGUGGCGAGUGGCGAACGGGUGAGUAAUACAUCGGAACGUGCCCGGUCGUGGGGGAUAACGUAGCGAAAGUUACGCUAAUACCGCAUACGAUCUGAGGAUGAAAGCGGGGGACCUUCGGGCCUCGCGCGAUCGGAGCGGCCGAUGUCAGAUUAGGUAGUUGGUGGGGUAAAGGCCUACCAAGCCGACGAUCUGUAGCAGGUCUGAGAGGACGACCAGCCACACUGGGACUGAGACACGGCCCAGACUCCUACGGGAGGCAGCAGUGGGGAAUUUUGGACAAUGGGCGCAAGCCUGAUCCAGCCAUUCCGCGUGCAGGACGAAGGCCUUCGGGUUGUAAACUGCUUUUGUAUGGAACGAAAAGGCUCUGGCUAAUACCUGGGGCUCAUGACGGUACCGUAAGAAUAAGCACCGGCUAACUACGUG
rnacentral:rRNA from 1 species